UGCGUAGGCGGUGCAGUCAGUCGGGUGUGAAAUCCCUCGGCUCAACCGAGGAACUGCGCCCGAUACUGCUGUGCUUGAGGGAGACAGAGGCGAGCGGAACUGAUGGUGGAGCGGUGAAAUGCGUUGAUAUCAUCAGGAACACCAGUGGCGAAAGCGGCUCGCUGGGUCUCUUCUGACGCUGUGGCACGAAAGCUAGGGGAGCGAACAGGAUUAGAUACCCUGGUAGUCC
rnacentral:rRNA from 1 species